GUGUUGUAUGGAGGGGGAGAAUAGCACUCUCCUUGAUAAGGAUUGAAAGGGGAUCUCAUAUCUUGUAUAAGUAAUGUAUAUGAAGGCAGCCUACUCUGUAGCAUCUAACAAUAUUGGUUU
ensembl:snRNA